rnacentral:misc_RNA from 1 species
CAAGUAUGGAGGCAUCUACCUGGAUACAGAUUUCAUCGUCCUAAAAAGUUUCACAGGAUUGAGAAAUUCAAUUGGAGCACAAAGUAUUGAUGUGGCGUCCAAAAACUGGACCAGAUUGAAUAAUGCAGUUAUGGUCUUCGAUAGUAAUCAUCCGCUUCUAUUCAAGUUCAUACAGGAAUUUGCUGCAACUUUUGAUGGAAAUAAAUGGGGUCACAAUGGACCCUACCUGGUCUCCAGAGUAGUUGAGAGAGUGGCUGGAAGACCCGGAUAUAACUUUACAGUCUUGCCGCCCAUAGCCUUUUACCCAGUUGAUUGGAAUAGGAUAGGCGGAUUUUUUAAGAAACCAGAAAAUCAGGCAGAUUCCAGAUGGGUAAAAGCCAAGCUACUUCAGCUUAGUGGUGAGACUUAUGGGGUACAUUUAUGGAACAAGCAAAGCAGUAGAAUCAGAAUAGAAGGA